rnacentral:rRNA from 1 species
CGUGGCGGCAGCUUACCAUGCAGUCGAGCGGAAAGGCCCUUCGGGGUACUCGAGCGGCGAACGGGUGAGUAACACGUGAGCAACCUGCCCUAGGCUUUGGGAUAACCCUCGGAAACGGGGGCUAAUACCGAAUAUUCACUUGCGGACGCAUGUUUGUGGGUGGAAAGUUUUUCGGCUUGGGAUGGGCUCGCGGCCUAUCAGCUUGUUGGUGGGGUGAUGGCCUACCAAGGCGACGACGGGUAGCCGGCCUGAGAGGGCGACCGGCCACACUGGGACUGAGACACGGCCCAGACUCCUACGGGAGGCAGCAGUGGGGAAUAUUGCACAAUGGGCGGAAGCCUGAUGCAGCGACGCCGCGUGAGGGAUGACGGCCUUCGGGUUGUAAACCUCUUUCAGCAGGGACGAAGCGCAAGUGACGGUACCUGCAGAAGAAGCGCCGGCCAACUACGUGCCAGCAGCCGCGGUAAGACGUAGGGCGCGAGCGUUGUCCGGAUUUAUUGGGCGUAAAGAGCUCGUAGGCGGCUUGUCGCGUCGACUGUGAAAACCCGUGGCUCAACUGCGGGCCUGCAGUCGAUACGGGCAGGCUAGAGUUCGGUAGGGGAGACUGGAAUUCCUGGUGUAGCGGUGAAAUGCGCAGAUAUCAGGAGGAACACCGGUGGCGAAGGCGGGUCUCUGGGCCGAUACUGACGCUGAGGAGCGAAAGCGUGGGGAGCGAACAGGAUUAGAUACCCUGGUAGUCCACGCUGUAAACGUUGGGCGCUAGGUGUGGGGGGCCUCUCCGGUUCUCUGUGCCGCAGCUAACGCAUUAAGCGCCCCGCCUGGGGAGUACGGGCCGCAAGGCUAAAACUCAAAGGGAAUUUGACGGGGGCCCGCCACAAGCGGGCGGAGCAUGGCGGAUUUACUCCGAUGCCAACGCGAAGAACUUACCCUGGGUUUGAACACAUUCGGCCGGGAAAAUCUCUCUCCACACGAG